GAGAGAAAGGAAGAAAAAGCUUGAUUUUUUAAUUCAAGCAAGCUAUGGUGGCCAUGGGUGUGAGGGAAUUAUGAAUUUUGUUGGGUGAAAUCCAAGCCAAAACCAAGUGGAAAUACAAAGGUAAAGUUAGAGUACUGUGGUGGUACGCUGGGGGAAAUAACGAGUGACCGGCAAGUAGGAAUAGCCAGAUACACCUCCGAACAAAUAGCGAUGUAAUAUCCCGCUAUUGUAAGGUUUCCUGAGUCAAAGGUGAUUGGAUCCUAGGACGAGUUGUUCCUCCCUAUCCAUUGCUCGGUAGGUUUACCAUGGUAUUAAGUGUUAGCAACAGUGCCCAGAGUCACUCCGCUGACAGUCAAGUUCUAAUUACGUGUAUAUGAAUACUU